rnacentral:rRNA from 1 species
AACGAACGCUGGCGGCAUGCCUAACACAUGCAAGUCGAACGAGACCUUCGGGUCUAGUGGCGCACGGGUGCGUAACGCGUGGGAACCUGCCCUUAGGUUCGGAAUAACUCCCCGAAAGGGGUGCUAAUACCGGAUAAUGUCUUCGGACCAAAGAUUUCUCGCCUUUGGAUGGGCCCGCGUUGGAUUAGCUAGUUGGUAGGGUAAAAGCCUACCAAGGCGACGAUCCAUAGCUGGUCUGAGAGGAUGAUCAGCCACACUGGGACUGAGACACGGCCCAGACUCCUACGGGAGGCAGCAGUGGGGAAUAUUGGACAAUGGGCGAAAGCCUGAUCCAGAAAUGCCGCGUGAGUGAUGAAGGCCUUAGGGUUGUAAAGCUCUUUUACCCGGGAUGAUAAUGACAGUACCGGGAGAAUAAGCUCCGGCUAACUCCGUG